GUGUCCCGCUGCAUCGCCACCUCUGCCGGCCCGCUCGGGCACCCGCCAGCCUCACAGGUUCCCUUUCCUAGAAGUCCACUAGCUGCUCGUUUUUCAUUAUUUAAAUAGGAUGUUACGGGUAACAGCUGCUGGGCCCAGCAGCAGUUCAGCUUGAUAGAGCUUCACAAUCCAAAGGCGGUUCCGUAAAUCUCGUUUACUUUCUGACUGUUAAAUGAGACAAGCGCGUAUUUUCUCAGGAAAGCCUUCUGCAUACAGCCUAUACCUCAAGUGUAAAUGGGAAGAUUUUAGUGUAUCUGUUUGUAAGUUAGAAAGUAUUUCUCAGCUUUUAAGUUUAAUUUCCAAAUAGCUUGAUAUGAUCUUUUUAUUACGGGUUAUCUUCUGGCUUGCUGUUUUAUAACACUCAAGGAAUUGUUAAAAUUGCAUAGGAGUAAUUUUAUUCUACAGUUACUGAAUUAUUAUAAUCUGUUGAUGAAUAAGAGUUUGUUUUAAUUAGUGUACAUAAAAAUGGUCAUCUUGCUGCCAAAUACCCAACCAAAAUAAUCUGCUGGGGGUUCUGUGCUUAUCCAAAACAGACUCCUAAGACUAAUGCUGUACCAACAGCAACAAAACAACCUGAAUUCAUUUAUGCUGAUGAAUGGACAAGAACGUUCUACUUUCUGUUGUAUAAAGCAAAUUUUACGAAGGUUGAUUGGCAGCAGUGUCUGUUAAGGAAUAACCCAUUUGUUGUAGGGAGUAGAAAAGCCUUGCUAAACUGACAAGUAAGGCAGAAGCCGAUAUACCGAACCAGUCUAGCUCACCGGACAGUCGUUCUUAAUAUCUUCUGCACCAAGUCCUCUAACGACUUGUAUUUUUUAAACAGGGUAAAGUGAAUGUGUUGCAUUGCAAACUCAGGUAUUAUGAGAGGGUAGGAAUGUAGCUAGAGAUGUAGAGACGUUAGGUCAGUCACUAGAUGUAUUUGUGAAUUUGGUUUGAAGGACGCCCUGGAAAGGUUGGAGUUUUUGUUCCAUUCUUCACGUAACAUUCGGUUUACAGGGACUCAUAUUUUAUUUGUGCUUAAUGCUAGUAGGGGGAAGUUCAUUAUCUUUGGUAUCUAUCUGCUCUUGCUUAUCUGACCUUCUGUCAUAGAGGAAUCAAUCAACAAUAAUAGUCUUUGGUAGAAUUUUCUGCCAUGACAAGUCAAUUUUUAUCCCCGAUUUGAAAGAUAAAUUGGCUGGCUGACCCCCUCCUCUCCUUCAUAGCAUUUGUGCAGAUGGAAAGCUGAAGAGUUACUUUUAAUCUGAGCAGAGAUUCGGGACAUAAAUUUGAAGUGCUCAGCUCACAGACUCUGUGGAGGGACUCUGCCCAGGUACCCCCGUUGCUCUUUUACAGCCCGAGGCUCUUCCCUCAGUUCCGAGAACGGAGCAGAAACUGCUGCUGGCGGCUGGUGGGGCCGAGUCCCAGCUCGGGGGCAAGACCCCAGCACCUCAGCAAAAGCUGCUGGGAAGCACCUGGGUUUUCCUCCACUGCCUGCCCUUGGGCCAGGCUUGUGUCCCCUGGGCUGGGCCUUGGCCCCACCGAGCGUCUCAGCAGCGAGUCCUGGUCCUCGGCGUGCCCGGGGCGGCGGAGGGCGGCCGGGGUGCUCGGAGACACCAGGUGCCUCGGAACUGGGGGGCUCUGGGCACGGCAGGGCUGCUGCGGCGGGGGGAACCCUCCGGCGGGUUUGCGUUGGUUCUUCCUGAGCAUUAGUAAUGCCCGUGGUGUUUGUCGUCCUCGUCUCGUGCCUGCUAGCCCGCGGCGCUGGGUGCUUUGGGUCACCAGGGUGCAGCUCUGGAUUCUUUCUGUCAUUCUUAAAUCCCGAGCUUUUGCCGCCUUCCAUCACGCAAAGACCAAAGGGGGAACACGGCGUUUUUGGGUUGAUCCGUGCGAUGUAGCCCGUCAGAUCACCAGCUGCAGGGCAACCGGUGCCGGCGAGCUGCUGGGCCGGUGACACCCGUUGUCCCAGCGCUGUGGUGUCGCCUGCGAGGGCGAGGGGGGCUCCCGGCCUGUGGCUUUGCA